AGUAAUUCAGUUUCGCUGUGCAUAAGCAGAAAAAACAUAUGUGACGUGGUAAGCGAAGCUUCAGCAGCCAAUCACCGAGUUAGUGUCCAUGCGAUAUCUGUGAGCUUAUGCUAUGUUUGUAUCAGAAUGCAGACUUCCAAUCACAGUUUGCUCUGAUCUCAUAGAUACAAUUAUAAAACUGUAUAAGACCUCUGUUCUCACCAGUAAUGGCAGGACACGUUAUUUGCUACUAAGGCGCAUGUACUCAAACUUGCAAGAUUUAAUAAGGUGCCAUUAAGAAUCAGUCUCUCAGCAUGUGAAUUGGGACCCUGACACGCUGGACAUGAAUCCUCACUUUGAAGGUCCUGUCUGAGGUUUAAUGUGACACUGGCAAGGCCAAUGGUGUGCAGAGCCAUGGCUCUCUGAUGGGAUCUUGCAAUGUUGCUGAACUGUACUGCAGUCCUGCUCAUAUCCACAGGGGAAAAGACAGAACCCUGAGGGACACCACAGACCAAUGGCUAGUGUCAAGCAGGAGUCCGUCGGUGCCACCUUCUGGGUUCAUCUCUCCAGGAAGGAACACAGCCACUGUAAAACAGUAGAAUCAUAGAGUUGGAAGAGACCACAAGGAUCAUCCAGUCCAAGCCCCUGCCAUGCAGGAACUCUCAAUCAAAGCAUCCCCGACAGAUGGCCAUCCAGCUUCUGUUUAAAGACCUCCAAGGAAGGAGACUCCACCACUCUCCGAGGGUGUUCCACUGUCGAACAGCCCUUACUAUCAGGAAAUUCCUCCCAAUGUUGAGUAACUCCAGGUCCCAUCCCAGAGACAUAAGUUGGUAGUAUUGAAAGCCAAUGAGUGUUACUGUUGGGAAUGUGCAGAAAAGCUAACCUUUGUUUGGGCUGAGGAUAGCAACUUUUCCUCACAAGACUUUCUCUCUGAAACCAGAGUUUCUGUGGCUUCCAAGUUCUUUUCUUGCAAGUCCUGUUGGAAAUAAAUGACACC